UCCCUGGUGGUCCAGUGGUUAAGAAUAUCUGCCUUUCAAUGCAGGGGGUGUGGGUUCGAUCCCUACUCAGGGAA
rnacentral:tRNA from 1 species